rnacentral:lncRNA from 1 species
GCACGCAGAAGUUCUUUGGCCAGGGAUUGAACCCGUGCCAUAGUAGUGAAAACACCAGAUCCUUAUUCAUUGCUAGGCCACCAGGAAACUCCCAGGUACAGUUCUUUUCUGCUGUAAAUCCAACUUGCCUUGUGACCUUGGGUGCAUGCCCCUACCUCCAGGUUUCAUUUUAUCAUAAGCAGAAUAAAAAGCCAAACAUUUGCCAAACAUUGGCUAGGUGCUCUUAGAAUGUUCUAGAUGUUUUCUGUAACUUUAUCCUCAUGUUAGUCCUCUAAGGUGCUAUUAGGAGAGUGGAAGUAGGGCACAGAGAGAUUUUAGUGACUUGCGUGGGUGGCAAGGCUGGCAUCUGAAGCCAGACAGCUAACCCCAGAAUAUACGCACAUACACAUUCUUAAUCCCUGUGCUAUACUGCCUUACUAAAGUGGGGGUGGGGUGGGGGAAGAAGGGACAAGAAGCCCAAAUCCCCACUGUCAUUUCACAAGGAGGUCAUGACAGUUGAGAGACAUCUGCCAAGAGCUAAAUGACCCAUUUUCUUUGGUCACUGAGUUUCCUCCAGAUUAGAAAUAGAGCCGGCUAGAAAUCAGAUCUGACAACUGUGGCCAGAGGCUCUGGCUUCUGUUGUUGGAGACACAGAUGACCUUAUCCAGUGCAUGGAUGCAGGUGACUAAGUCCUCAGCAGGGCAAUGAAGGGCUCCUCCCACUUGAGCCUUUCUCUGGGUGGAUCACCAAUGAUGCUAUCAGAACGGCCAAUAGCACAGGCGCACCCUUGGUGGCCGUAAAUUCCACAUUGCUUGAGGCUAGAGUCUGUGAUUCCUGGGCCCAUGCUCAGAGAACCAGUGGUUGAUAGAAAUUUAGUUCUGUGAUUUUUCAGAGAGGAGGCAGCAGGUGUCCAGGACACAGGUGGACCCAAGCCAGGUGUACCAAAGGCUCUUGGUACCCACCCAUAUCCUCCCCCAUGGGUGCAUCAGGGCCCACGGGCCUGGCUUACAACGGCCAGCACCUACAUCCUGAGUGCUUUCUCUCCCCCAGACCCCGCUUCACCCAUCUGUAUAACAGGCCCAUAUGGGGGCAGGGAGUGCAUUCGCCCUGGGAGUGGUGCUUAACUAAUGUGGAGCUCGAGGAGCACUUCCUCGCCCCUCAGUGGGGACAAUUCUGAGAUGUGUGCUCUGAACUCUCUUCCCAAAGUUGCCAGGAGUAGCUCCUGUUGUCCCGAGUGAUAACUUGCUUGAUAACACACUCUUUCUUCACUUCCUCCCUUCUCUUCCCUGCCUCACCUCCUUACACCUCUUCCUGGGUUCCCUGCACGUCCCGAAUAAACGACUUGCAGUCAAUUUAUUGUCACGUGGCCUGCUUCUAGGGAACUCAAACUAAGACAUCGGAAAGGACUCCUGGUGGCAAAUGAUAUCCUGAGAAAGCUUCCUCACUCGGGCAACCUCUACAUUCUGGGAGGGAAGUCUGUUCUAAUGUUCUCCAAAAAUGGGUAGGUCAUAGAAGGAAGCCAAGCUCAGAGAAGCCUAGGAAGAGGCUUUUACGAUCUCACUGAAGGCAGGCCUGAGAUACUCUCAAUUUCCACUCCAAGUGGCUUCCUUGGCCCUGGAGUUACUCCUGGAUCAAGUCUCUGCCUUUGAAAGUGGAACCUGUCUCUUCUGUAUGAGGGUUCCUCUUCUUGAUGCUCCUGUCUUUUGCCAUGUCCAAAUGGAAAUUACUUUUCUGCUCCAGUUAGCAACAGUUUCUGCUUUCCAGGUGAAUAGACAUAAUUCUCUGCAGGGGUAAAGGAAGCAUCCAAGUCGAUUCCCACAGUUGGGCUGGCAGCUCUCACAUCUACCAGGCCACCCUCUCUUGGCUGGCCAGCCCCAUGCCCUUUGGUUUAGUGAAGCCCUAAAUCUGUCAACAGUGGGAGUCCCACCACCGUUCUCACCUCUGUGAGGCCCAGGGCUUCAGGAAGAAAUACAGAAAAGGUCAAAAAAUAAGGCAUUUCUGUAGGGCAAUGCUUUCUAGCCUCCUUUACAUCAUGGCACUCAAAGACAAUUUAUACUACUUGUGUGACACACUGGGGCAAAUGAACGAAGAUCCUCUUGGCCAGGGGCAGUUGACAGAAGAUUUUCUGUGUCCCAAACUCUAGGCAGCCUUCCCGGGGGCUGUGAGGUUCAGUAAUAUCCCAGCAUAUCUGUAACCUAUUUGUGACAUGUCAGUUGUAUUAACAAUACAUGAACAACUAUUUUGAGUUUAUGCCAUAGAAAGUCACAACGUGUGCGUGAACAUGUCUGAUCCUCUCAAACUCUGAAAUCUUCGUCAGAUGUGAGAUCCUUGAAGCACCAAAGUUAGGCUGUGGACUGCAGCGGGGGUGGGGGAGCUCUUUAUCAUUUUAAGGGCUUCCAAAGCUGCAUUAUUCGUUAGCUAUUUGUUUAGCACCCGCCACGUACUCUGUGCCAGCACUAAGACUUGGGGCCCAGGUGGAUUUCACACCCAGGAAGCUCCCUGGUUCCUAGUGCAAAUCCAGUUUGGGGCUCUCCCUCCCCCCUUCACCAGCCACGGGUGGCUGCAUUUGAUGCCUAGUAUAAGUCACACGAGGUCCCUGGUUUCACCUAUCUGUCUACUACCCGGAAUUGGCUAUUACUCACAUUUCUGUAUGUUGUCUUUGUCUUUUUUUAAAAAUAAAAUAAAUAAAACAUCAUUGCCAGAUAAGGUUCCAUUCUCUUUCCCACCUCUCAAUGAAAGUCAUGCAUUUAUUGCAUAUGGUUCCAAAGUAUUUUUGCACCUCUGAUGUAUGCUCUCAGUCCUCCAGCCAGAUCUUCCAGGGUCUUUUUUCACAAGUUCUACUGCCCCUUCCCAGUGUCUGUGGGCUUUUGCUUCUAAAGGCCCACAACCGAGACUUUUCGGAGGUUCCGCAUGAGUUUCUGGAGCCAUCCUGCCUGCAGUCACAGAGUCAGAAGUGCCUGGGCAUUUCUAGCCUUCAAGGGGGCCCUGAGCCAAUGACUGAUGGGUGUGAGGAAACAAAAGCCCAGAACUCCCCUUCCUGGCCAGCUGAGGCUGCAGGGACUUGACCUAAAAAUACCGUUGCUUGGCUUCUGUCCCUCCUUUGUCCUGCUUCCCGCUUCCCUCACUGGCUUCCGAUGUGGGGGGAGGUACUUAUACAAGUCACUACCACACUGAGAGUACAAUGACUUAACCCUGCUUCACGUGUGUGAGCCUCCCUUUCUGCAGAAGAGAGACAUUCUAAGGUAUAUACAUGAUGCAGUUCGGGGCUCCUGGAACAAGGACAGUUGCCAUCUUACCAGGUGUUAUUCUUCAAAGCGCACGUGCUCAUUCACUCUGCCAGCAGUGACUGACAGCCCCUGUUUCCCUACAUUCUUUUCUUUUUUUUUUCUUUUUGGCCACGUCCACGGCAUGCAGAAGUUCCCAAGCCAGGGAUUGAUCCUGAGCCAUAGCAGCGACACGAGCCCCAGCAGUGACAAUGCUGGAUCCUUAACCUGCUGAGCCACA